rnacentral:lncRNA from 1 species
ACCUACAUACUUGUCUUAGUGUCACAACACGAAUGGGAUGAGACUUUCCAUCCUUCCAAUUGAAGCGGACAUAGUAUGUACCGGUCUACGCAUUGUCAGUAUCCCUCCGACAAUCCAACGACCAAGAACCUUUUGGACAUAAUGGUUAUGUGAAGAAGGUCUCUGUAGUCUAACAUCAUUAGAUUACUUCUCCAAUCGAUCCAUUGUCCAUGGAUACACUAUUCAGGACAUAUAUCGUUUAUUGAGAUAGUCCUAAUUAGCAUCUUUGCC